CUACGGGACGCUCCAGUGAGGAAUAUUGCACAAUGGGGGGAACCCUGAUGCAGCAACGCCGCGUGGAGGAGGACGCAUUUCGGUGUGUACACUCCUUUUAUAUGUCAAGAAAAUGACGGUAGCAUAUGAAUAAGCACCGGCUAACUCCGUGCCAGCAGCCGCGGUAAUACGGAGGGUGCAAGCGUUACUCGGAAUCACUGGGCGUAAAGGACGCGUAGGCGGGUUGGAAAGUCAGGUGUGAAAUCCUACAGCUUAACUGUAGAACUGCACUUGAAACUUCUAAUCUAGAGUAUGGGAGGGGGAGAUGGAAUUAGUGGUGUAGGGGUAAAAUCCGUAGAUAUCACUAGGAAUACCUAAAGCGAAGGCGAUCUCCUGGAACAUUACUGACGCUAAGGCGUGAAAGCGUGAGGAGCAAACAGGAUUAGAUACCCCCGUAGUC
rnacentral:rRNA from 1 species